rnacentral:rRNA from 1 species
UACGAAGGGUGCAAGCGUUACUCGGAAUUACUGGGCGUAAAGCGUGCGUAGGUGGUUUGUUAAGUCUGAUGUGAAAGCCCUGGGCUCAACCUGGGAAUGGCAUUGGAUACUGGCGAGCUAGAGUGCGGUAGAGGGUAGUGGAAUUCCCGGUGUAGCAGUGAAAUGCGUAGAGAUCGGGAGGAACAUCUGUGGCGAAGGCGACUACCUGGACCAGCACUGACACUGAGGCACGAAAGCGUGGGGAGCAAUCCGG